rnacentral:miRNA from 1 species
CAUCUGCAGCCAGCCUGGCAUUGUCUAUCUCCAGGAUGACCCGGUUGUUGUCAGUGGUGGCUUCCAGGAUCUACAAAACACAGAUGGACACUCUGGAGCUGUGCUUAGAGAGC